rnacentral:rRNA from 1 species
GGCGAGUGAAGCGGCAACAGCUCAAAUUUGAAAUCUGGCGUCUUUGGCGUCCGAGUUGUAAUUUGCAGAGGGCGCUUUGGCAUUGGCAGCGGUCCAAGUUCCUUGGAACAGGACGUCACAGAGGGUGAGAAUCCCGUACGUGGUCGCUAGCCUUUACCGUGUAAAGCCCCUUCGACGAGUCGAGUUGUUUGGGAAUGCAGCUCUAAAUGGGAGGUAAAUUUCUUCUAAAGCUAAAUACUGGCCAGAGACCGAUAGCGCACAAGUAGAGUGAUCGAAAGAUGAAAAGCACUUUGGAAAGAGAGUUAAAAAGCACGUGAAAUUGUUGAAAGGGAAGCGCUUGCAGCCAGACUUGCCUGUAGUUGCUCAUCCGGGUUUCUACCCGGUGCACUCUUCUAUAGGCAGGCCAGCAUCAGUUUGGGCGGUUGGAUAAAGGUCUCUGUCAUGUACCUCUCUUCGGGGAGAACUUAUAGGGGAGACGACAUGCAACCAGCCUGGACUGAGGUCCGCGCAUCUGCUAGGAUGCUGGCGUAAUGGCUGUAAGCGGCCCGUCUUGAAACACGGACCAAGGAGUCUAACAUCUAUGCGAGUGUUUGGGUGUCAAGCCCGAGCGCGUAAUGAAAGUGAACGGAGGUGGGAACCUUUCGGGGUGCACCAUCGACCGAUCCUGAUGUCUUCGGAUGGAUUUGAGUAAGAGCAUAGCUGUUGGGACCCGAAAGAUGGUGAACUAUGCUUGAAUAGGGUGAAGCCAGAGGAAACUCUGGUGGAGGCUCGCAGCGGUUCUGACGUGCAAAUCGAUCGUCAAAUUUGGGCAU